rnacentral:rRNA from 1 species
CUGAACGCGCCCGAUCUCGUCUGAUCUCGGAAGCUAAGCAGGGUCGGGCCCGGUUAGUACUUGGAUGGGAGACCGCCUGGGAAUACCGGGU